rnacentral:lncRNA from 1 species
GUACUUGAGUCAAACUCAAUUUAAUUCUAAUCCAAUUAGGAUUUGGUGCACCCAAGAGAAUGAGAAUUUUUAGUCUAAAUAAGAUUUCAAAUAUUCUUGUUUAGAUUCUAAUCUAAUUAGGUGUUGGGUAUAAAAUACCCCCAGUCGAAGUUUGUGAAAGGCCGACCCUUCCAGGGCUUUUCCGACUUCCGACCAUGUGUGGCGUCUUUCUGAACUCCCUCGACCGUCUGAGCUUCCAUAAUGGCAUCUGGGCUUCUCCAAUCAUGAGGUUCUCCAUUCAUCUACCGGAUUACUCCAAACACCCUCUGAACUCUGCUAUCAGCCG